CGAUAUGGGCGUAAGAGCUCGCUAGGCGGUUAGUCACGUCGGAUGUGAAAUCCCGGAGCUUAACUCCGGGCCUGCAUUCGAUACGGGCUGACUCGAGGUGUUGUAGGGGAGACUGGAACUCCUGGUGUAGCGGUGAAAUGCGCAGAUAUCAGGAAGAACACCGGUGGCGAAGGCGGGUCUCUGGGCAACUACUGACGCUGAGGAGCGAAAGCGUGGGGAGCAAACAGGAUUAGAUACCCUGGUAGUCCACGCCGUAAACGGUGGGCGCUAGGUGUGGGGAACAUUCCACGUUCUCUGCGCCGCAGCUAACGCAUUAAGCGCCCCGCCUGGGGAGUACGGCCGCAAGGCUAAAACUCAAAGGAAUUGGCGGGGGAGCACAA
rnacentral:rRNA from 1 species